UACGUAGGGGGCAAGCGUUGUCCGGAAUCAUUGGGCGUAAAGCGCGUGUAGGCGGCCCGGUAAGUCCGCUGUGAAAGUCGGGGGCUCAACCCUCGAAUGCCGGUGGAUACUGUCGGGCUAGAGUGUGGAAGAGGCGAGUGGAAUUCCUGGUGUAGCGGUGAAAUGCGCAGAUAUCAGGAGGAACACCAAUUGCGAAGGCAGCUCGCUGGGACGUGACUGACGCUGAGACGCGAAAGCGUGGGGAGCAAACAGG
rnacentral:rRNA from 1 species